CCGAGUUUACAACUCCCAAACCACUGUGAAUCUUACCUUUUUUCGUUGCUUCGGCGGGAUCGCCCCGGGCGCCAUCGCGUGCCCCGGACCCAGGCGCCCGCCGGGGAAACCCAAACGCUGUCGUUUAGUGGCAUUUCUGAGUGGAUUAUCAAAUAAUCA
rnacentral:misc_RNA from 1 species